rnacentral:rRNA from 1 species
GAUGAACGCUGGCGGCGUGCUUAACACAUGCAAGUCGAACGAUGAAGCCCAGCUUGCUGGGUGGAUUAGUGGCGAACGGGUGAGUAACACGUGAGUAACCUGCCCUUGACUCUGGGAUAAGCCUGGGAAACUGGGUCUAAUACUGGAUAUGACUUCUCAUCGCAUGGUGGGGGGUGGAAAGAUUUAUUGGUCUUGGAUGGACUCGCGGCCUAUCAGCUUGUUGGUGAGGUAAUGGCUCACCAAGGCGACGACGGGUAGCCGGCCUGAGAGGGUGACCGGCCACACUGGGACUGAGACACGGCCCAGACUCCUACGGGAGGCAGCAGUGGGGAAUAUUGCACAAUGGGCGCAAGCCUGAUGCAGCGACGCCGCGUGAGGGAUGACGGCCUUCGGGUUGUAAACCGCUUUCAGUAGGGAAGAAGCGAGAGUGACGGUACCGGCAGAAGAAGCGCCGGCUAACUACGU